UUAAGUUAUUAAGGGCGCACGGUGGAUGCCUUGGCACUAGAAGCCGAUGAAGGACGUUACUAACGACGAUAUGCUUUGGGGAGCUGUAAGUAAGCUUUGAUCCAGAGAUUUCCGAAUGGGGAAACCCAGCAUGAGUUAUGUCAUGUUAUCGAUAUGUGAAUACAUAGCAUAUCAGAAGGCACACCCGGAGAACUGAAACAUCUUAGUACCCGGAGGAAGAGAAAGAAAAUUCGAUUCCCUUAGUAGCGGCGAGCGAAACGGGAAGAGCCCAAACCAACAAGCUUGCUUGUUGGGGUUGUAGGACACUCUAUACGGAGUUACAAAGGACGACAUUAGACGAAUCAUCUGGAAAGAUGAAUCAAAGAAGGUAAUAAUCCUGUAGUCGAAAAUGUUGUCUCUCUUGAGUGGAUCCUGAGUACGACGGAGCACGUGAAAUUCCGUCGGAAUCUGGGAGGACCAUCUCCUAAGGCUAAAUACUCUCUAGUGACCGAUAGUGAACCAGUACCGUGAGGGAAAGGUGAAAAGCACCCCGGAAGGGGAGUGAAACAGAACCUGAAACCGUGUGCUUACAAGUAGUCAGAGCCCGUUAAUGGGUGAUGGCGUGCCUUUUGUAGAAUGAACCGGCGAGUUACGAUUUGAUGCAAGGUUAAGCAGUAAAUGUGGAGCCGUAGCGAAAGCGAGUCUGAAUAGGGCGUUUAGUAUUUGGUCGUAGACCCGAAACCAGGUGAUCUACCCUUGGUCAGGUUGAAGUUCAGGUAACACUGAAUGGAGGACCGAACCGACUUACGUUGAAAAGUGAGCGGAUGAACUGAGGGUAGCGGAGAAAUUCCAAUCGAACCUGGAGAUAGCUGGUUCUCUCCGAAAUAGCUUUAGGGCUAGCCUCAAGUGAUGAUUAUUGGAGGUAGAGCACUGUUUGGACGAGGGGCCCCUCUCGGGUUACCGAAUUCAGACAAACUCCGAAUGCCAAUUAAUUUAACUUGGGAGUCAGAACAUGGGUGAUAAGGUCCGUGUUCGAAAGGGAAACAGCCCAGACCACCAGCUAAGGUCCCAAAAUAUAUGUUAAGUGGAAAAGGAUGUGGCGUUGCCCAGACAACUAGGAUGUUGGCUUAGAAGCAGCCAUCAUUUAAAGAGUGCGUAAUAGCUCACUAGUCGAGUGACACUGCGCCGAAAAUGUACCGGGGCUAAACAUAUUACCGAAGCUGUGGAUUGUCCUUUGGACAAUGGUAGGAGAGCGUUCUAAGGGCGUUGAAGCAUGAUCGUAAGGACAUGUGGAGCGCUUAGAAGUGAGAAUGCCGGUGUGAGUAGCGAAAGACGGGUGAGAAUCCCGUCCACCGAUUGACUAAGGUUUCCAGAGGAAGGCUCGUCCGCUCUGGGUUAGUCGGGUCCUAAGCUGAGGCCGACAGGCGUAGGCGAUGGAUAACAGGUUGAUAUUCCUGUACCACCUAUAAUCGUUUUAAUCGAUGGGGGGACGCAGUAGGAUAGGCGAAGCGUGCGAUUGGAUUGCACGUCUAAGCAGUAAGGCUGAGUAUUAGGCAAAUCCGGUACUCAUUAAGGCUGAGCUGUGAUGGGGAGAAGACAUUGUGUCUUCGAGUCGUUGAUUUCACACUGCCGAGAAAAGCCUCUAGAUAGAAAAUAGGUGCCCGUACCGCAAACCGACACAGGUAGUCAAGAUGAGAAUUCUAAGGUGAGCGAGCGAACUCUCGUUAAGGAACUCGGCAAAAUGACCCCGUAACUUCGGGAGAAGGGGUGCUCUUUAGGGUUAACGCCCAGAAGAGCCGCAGUGAAUAGGCCCAAGCGACUGUUUAUCAAAAACACAGGUCUCUGCUAAACCGUAAGGUGAUGUAUAGGGGCUGACGCCUGCCCGGUGCUGGAAGGUUAAGAGGAGUGGUUAGCUUCUGCGAAGCUACGAAUCGAAGCCCCAGUAAACGGCGGCCGUAACUAUAACGGUCCUAAGGUAGCGAAAUUCCUUGUCGGGUAAGUUCCGACCCGCACGAAAGGCGUAACGAUUUGGGCACUGUCUCAACGAGAGACUCGGUGAAAUCAUAGUACCUGUGAAGAUGCAGGUUACCCGCGACAGGACGGAAAGACCCCGUGGAGCUUUACUGUAGCCUGAUAUUGAAAUUCGGCACAGCUUGUACAGGAUAGGUAGGAGCCUUUGAAACGUGAGCGCUAGCUUACGUGGAGGCGCUGGUGGGAUACUACCCUAGCUGUGUUGGCUUUCUAACCCGCACCACUUAUCGUGGUGGGAGACAGUGUCAGGCGGGCAGUUUGACUGGGGCGGUCGCCUCCUAAAAGGUAACGGAGGCGCUCAAAGGUUCCCUCAGAAUGGUUGGAAAUCAUUCAUAGAGUGUAAAGGCAUAAGGGAGCUUGACUGCGAGACCUACAAGUCGAGCAGGGUCGAAAGACGGACUUAGUGAUCCGGUGGUUCCGCAUGGAAGGGCCAUCGCUCAACGGAUAAAAGCUACCCCGGGGAUAACAGGCUUAUCUCCCCCAAGAGUUCACAUCGACGGGGAGGUUUGGCACCUCGAUGUCGGCUCAUCGCAUCCUGGGGCUGUAGUCGGUCCCAAGGGUUGGGCUGUUCGCCCAUUAAAGCGGUACGCGAGCUGGGUUCAGAACGUCGUGAGACAGUUCGGUCCCUAUCCGUCGUGGGCGUAGGAAAUUUGAGAGGAGCUGUCCUUAGUACGAGAGGACCGGGAUGGACAUACCUCUGGUGUACCAGUUGUCGUGCCAACGGCAUAGCUGGGUAGCUAUGUGUGGACGGGAUAAGUGCUGAAAGCAUCUAAGCAUGAAGCCCCCCUCAAGAUGAGAUUUCCCAACUUCGGUUAUAAGAUCCCUCAAAGAUGAUGAGGUUAAUAGGUUCGAGGUGGAAGCAUGGUGACAUGUGGAGCUGACGAAUACUAAUCGAUCGAAGACUUAAUCUA
rnacentral:rRNA from 4 species